rnacentral:rRNA from 1 species
UGGGGAAUCUUGCACAAUGGGGGCAACCCUGAUGCAGCGACGCCGCGUGAGCGAUGAAGCCCUUCGGGGCGUAAAGCUCUUUCGACCGGAACGAUAAUGACGGUACCGGGAGAAGAAGCUGCGGCUAACUACGUGCCAGCAGCCGCGGUAAUACGUAGGCAGCAAGCGUUGUUCGGAGUUACUGGGCGUAAAGAGUGCGUAGGCGGUUUUCUAAGUUCGGUGUGAAAUCUCCCGGCUUAACUGGGAGGGUGCGCCGAAGACUGGGAAGCUGGAGUGUGGGAAAGGCAGGCGGAAUUCCUGGUGUAGCGGUGAAAUGCGUAGAUAUCAGGAGGAACAUCGGCGGUGUAGACGGCUUGCUAGACCAUAACUGACGCUGAGGCACGAAAGCGUGGGUAGCAAACA